GCCGAGUCAAGAGAUCCUAGCCAGGCAAGGUUUCUGGCAGAGACAGGCUUUCCAUAAACUGUCAAGAAUGUUGCUUGACAGGAAGAAAGAGAUCCAGGUUCAGAGCAGAAUAAGUGACUUAAAAACAGGGCUCAGAGAUCAGACAUUUCAGGAGAAGGAUGAGAUGAGAGAGGCUUCACAUUCCAGGGAAGGACUCAAGAUCUCAGACUAAAUCUUUGAACAGUCAAGGGUGCCUAGUCUGGUACCCAGAGACAAGAUCUCAUCGAGUUGCUUAG